AUGCAGGUGCAGACGAGGAGGUGUUGGUCGACGAGACUAAGGGAAGAGACAAGAUGGCGGAAAGUGGAGGAGGUGCAGGUGGUCAACGACGGCAACGGCGGGUCGGCGGCCGGCGGAGGCGGCGCUCCCUCCCUCCUGCAGCUGUAUGGUGGGCAGCGGCGGCGCGGCGGCGCCGGGAUGGGAUGCGGAGGCGGCGUUGGGAUUGAGCGACCGAACGAACAAAGUGCGACUGCGUGCGUUGGGCUAUGCCUUUUCUCGGUCCGACCGAGCGGACCGGUCAAAGCCCGGACCGGACCGACGUUUUCUCGGGCCUAA
rnacentral:rRNA from 1 species